AUUGAACGCUGGCGGCAUGCCUUACACAUGCAAGUCGAACGGCAGCGGACCUUCGGGUGCCGGCGAGUGGCGAACGGGUGAGUAAUAUAUCGGAACGUACCUUUCAGUGGGGGAGUAACGUAGCGAAAGUUACGCUAAUACCGCAUAUUCUGUGAGCAGGAAAGCAGGGGAUCGCAAGACCUUGCGCUGAUUGAGCGGCCGAUAUCAGAUUAGCUAGUUGGUGAGGUAAAGGCUCACCAAGGCGACGAUCUGUAGCGGGUCGUGAGAGGAUGAUCCGCCACACUGGAACUGAGACACGGUCCAGACUCCUACGGGAGGCAGCAGUGGGGGAAUUUUUGGUACGAAUAGGGCGGCAAGACCUCGAUCCAGCCACUGCCGCCGUGAGUG
rnacentral:rRNA from 1 species